UACGUAGGGGGCGAGCGUUGUCCGGAUUUAUUGGGCGUAAAGAGCGUGUAGGCGGCCAGGUAGGUCUGCUGUGAAAACUCCGAGGCUCAACCUCGAGACGUCGGCGGAAACCAUCUGGCUAGAGUCCGGAAGAGGAGAGUGGAAUCCUGGUGUAGCGGUGAAAUGCGCAGAUAGUCAGGAGGAACACCAAUAGCGAAGGCAGCUCGCUGGGACG
rnacentral:rRNA from 1 species